rnacentral:rRNA from 1 species
CCCUUAGAGUUUGAUCCUGGCUCAGAUUGAACGCUGGCGGCAGGCCUAACACAUGCAAGUCGAGCGGUAGCACAGAGAGCUUGCUCUCGGGUGACGAGCGGCGGACGGGUGAGUAAUGUCUGGGAAACUGCCUGAUGGAGGGGGAUAACUACUGGAAACGGUAGCUAAUACCGCAUAAUGUCGCAAGACCAAAGUGGGGGACCUUCGGGCCUCAUGCCAUCAGAUGUGCCCAGAUGGGAUUAGCUAGUAGGUGGGGUAACGGCUCACCUAGGCGACGAUCCCUAGCUGGUCUGAGAGGAUGACCAGCCACACUGGAACUGAGACACGGUCCAGACUCCUACGGGAGGCAGCAGUGGGGAAUAUUGCACAAUGGGCGCAAGCCUGAUGCAGCCAUGCCGCGUGUGUGAAGAAGGCCUUCGGGUUGUAAAGCACUUUCAGCGGGGAGGAAGGCGUUAAGGUUAAU